rnacentral:rRNA from 1 species
UACAGAGGUCCCGAGCGUUGUUCGGAUUCACUGGGCGUAAAGGGUGCGUAGGUGGUGAGGUAAGUCGGAUGUGAAAGCUCCAAGCUCAACUUGGAAAUGGCAUUGGAAACUACCUUGCUAGAGGGUUUGAGGGGGGACUGGAAUACUUGGUGUAGCAGUGAAAUGCGUAGAUAUCAAGUGGAACACCAGUGGCGAAGGCGAGUCCCUGGAAAACUCCUGACACUGAGGCACGGAAAGCUAGGGGAGCAAACAGG